GAUGAACGCUAGCUACAGGCUUAACACAUGCAAGUCGAGGGGUAACGAGAGGGAAGCUUGCUUUCCUUGUCGACGACCGGCGCACGGGUGAGUAACGCGUAUCCAACCUGCCCCCAACUAGGGAAUAACCUUGCGAAAGUAAGACUAAUACCCUAUAAUUUCCUCAGAUGUCAUCUGACGAGGAAUAAAGAUUUAUCGGUUGUGGAUGGGGAUGCGUCUGAUUAGCUUGUUGGCGCGGUAACGGCCCACCAAGGAAACGAUCAGUAGGGGUUCUGAGAGGAAGGGCCCCCACAUUGGAACUGAGACACGGUCCAAACUCCUACGGGAGGCAGCAGUGAGGAAUAUUGGUCAAUGGGCGGAAGCCUGAACCAGCCAAGUAGCGUGCAGGAUGACGGCCCUAUGGGUUGUAAACUGCUUUUAUACAGGAAUAAAGUUAGCCACGUGUGGUUAUUUGUAGGUACUGUAUGAAUAAGGACCGGCUAAUUCCGUGCCAGCCGCCGCGGUAA
rnacentral:rRNA from 1 species